UCCGUAGGCGGAUCUGUAAGUCAGUGGUGAAAUCUCAUAGCUUAACUAUGAAACUGCCAUUGAUACUGCGGGUCUUGAGUAAGGUAGAAGUAGCUGGAAUAAGUAGUGUAGCGGUGAAAUGCAUAGAUAUUACUUAGAACACCAAUUGCGAAGGCAGGUUACUAUGUCUUAACUGACGCUGAUGGACGAAAGCGUGGGGAGCGAACAGGAUUAGAUACCCUGGUAGUCC
rnacentral:rRNA from 1 species